AGUGGUUCUGUUCAAUACAAAGCAAGCAAUUUUCGUAUAGCAGCUUUAACUCUACCAAGAAUCUCAGUGCAAAAAUUACAACAAAAUCCACUCACUCUGAAAUUGACUGCCGAAAACGGAAAAAUUAGCGGAAAAUUUGACUUUGGGUUCAGAUAUAAAACAUCGCUACCUCGGCAUACAGAUGAUGGAUAUGUAACUUACAGUGCAAGUAAAAUUGGAAUGGAAGUAAAAAUAACAGCAGAUUUGGCCAAUAAGUCCCUUCAGGUUAAAAGUUGCAGUAGCCCCCGUACUCCUAUACGCAUGAAAUUCCAUGGAACUGGAACGGGAUGGAGUUGGAUUUAUAAUCUUUUAAAAGGAAUACUAGAAAGAAAACUAGAAAAAAGAUUACCUGGUCCUAAAGGCGUGGUAGGUAUCGUUUACUUUUAUGACAA